rnacentral:rRNA from 1 species
GAUGAACGUUGGCGGCGUGCCUAAUACAUGCAAGUCGAACGAAGACUGUAGUAAUACUGUCUUAGUGGCGAACGGGUGAGUAACGCGUGGGUGACCUGCCCCGAAGUGUGGGAUAACAAGUCCGAAAGGAUUGCUAAUACUGCAUAAUAUCCAAGAAGAUUAGAUGCUUUUGGAUUAAAGGAGUAAUUCGCUUCGGGAGGGGCCCGCGUCCCAUCAGCUAGUUGGUAAGGUAAUGGCUUACCAAGGCGAUGACGGGUAGGGGACCUGAGAGGGUGGCCCCCCACAAUGGAACUGAAACACGGUCCAUACACCUACGGGUGGCAGCAGUAGGGAAUAUUAGUAAUGGGCGAAAGCCUGAACUAGCAACGCCGCGUGUGCGAAGAAGGCCUUCGGGUCGUAAAGCACUUUUUGAGAGGAUGAGGAAGGACGGUACUCUCAGAAUAAGUCUCGGCUAACUACGUG